rnacentral:rRNA from 1 species
UCAGGACGAACGCUGGCGGCGUGCUUAACACAUGCAAGUCGAACGGAGUAUUGAAGAAGCUUGCUUAGAGAUACUUAGUGGCGGACGGGUGAGUAACGCGUGAGGAGCUGUCCUAUGCAGGGGGACAACAGCUGGAAACGGCUGCUAAUACCCCAUAAGCCGAGAGGUAAAGGAUCAAUCCGGCAGAGGAGGUACUCGCGUCCUAUCAGCUAGUAGGUGAGGUAACGGCUCACCUAGGCGAAGACGGGUAGCCGGCCUGAGAGGGCGAACGGCCACACUGGAACUGAGAUACGGUCCAGACUCCUACGGGAGGCAGCAGUGGGGAAUAUUGGGCAAUGGGGGAAACCCUGACCCAGCGACGCCGCGUGGGUGAAGAAAUCCUUCGGGAUGUAAAGCCCUGUUGUAUGGGAAGAGCGGAAGACGGUACCAUACGAGGAAGCCCCGGCAAACUACGUGCCAGCCGCUGC